rnacentral:rRNA from 1 species
UUAUACAUGCAAGUCGACGGCAGCNCGGGCUUCGGCCUGGCGGCGAGUGGCGAACGGGUGAGUAAUACAUCGGAACGUGCCCUGUCGUGGGGGAUAACUAGUCGAAAGAUUAGCUAAUACCGCAUACGACCUGAGGGUGAAAGCGGGGGACCGUAAGGCCUCGCGCGAUAGGAGCGGCCGAUGUCUGAUUAGCUAGUUGGUGGGGUAAAGGCCUACCAAGGCGACGAUCAGUAGCUGGUCUGAGAGGACGAUCAGCCACACUGGGACUGAGACACGGCCCAGACUCCUACGGGAGGCAGCAGUGGGGAAUUUUGGACAAUGGGGGCAACCCUGAUCCAGCAAUGCCGCGUGUGUGAAGAAGGCUUCGGGUUGUAAAGCACUUUUGUCCGGAAAGAAAUGGCCUGGGCU